rnacentral:rRNA from 1 species
UACGGGAGGCAGCAGUGGGGAAUUUUGGCCAAUGGGGGCAACCCUGAUCCAGCCCCGCCGCGUGGGUGAAGAAGGCCUUCGGGUUGUAAAGCCCUUUCGGCAGGGACGAAAGCUCUCGCCCUAACAUGUCCGAAAUGACGUACUCAGAGAAGCCGAGCGCGUGGAGUGACGGUACCGGACUAAGAAGCACCGGCUAACUACGUGCCAGCAGCCGCGGUAUACGUAGGG